rnacentral:sRNA from 1 species
CAAAUAGCUGACUAGGGUUCCGGCUCGCCGAUAAAGCGAGUGACUGGUCCGAGAGUUGGCGACCUCCUUCGAGGUUACACGGCGGGAUAAAAGCCCGGGAGAA